UUCCCAAUCAUUGCUCGUUCAAGCCAGACAACAACUGCUCAAGUGGCGUGCCGAAAUUUCCACAAAAGAUGUCACCUCCAAAUAUAAAGCCCAAGUUUAAACAAAAGUCAAAGAUUAAGACUACAAUCAUAGAGUAAGUAAAGACACAGCUAUAUGGGCGUAUACAUUAAUGAACAGAAAUGUAGGUUCCUUCUUUUGUUUGUGAAAUUAUAAUUCUUUCUUCUGUACUCAACAGUAGAAACAUACAAAUUUUGCCAAGUCACUAUAGACAUCAGGCAACUGCGUGGUGGCCCAAAAUUGGUAUAAAAGUUGAAUAUUCAUUUUCUGGUGGGACAGUAAGGGUAGAUAACUACAUCCUUCACCAUGAAUUUACAUGGCUUUAGGCCUCCGCAGACUCUUCACUUUGCAACUCUCAUGCAAGCGGGUGAAGAUUAUGCCUGCUUGUACAGUAACAAUGGGCUGACAUCUCCCAUCAUCCAUUGUAGCAAAUCUACGCCCACUCCUAGCAAUCUGAACAUUUGUCCCAUGUAAAGCCGCAAACAAAUAUGUACAUGGCUCUCAAAAAGGUAUGUAUAAAAGGGCGCAUGAACUUCAAACAACACUGGUGCUGGAUCGUGCUAUCCUCUGAGCUUCUUCGAGAUCCUUCAGAAACCUCUUUGAAUUAAGAACUACAGAACCACCAAGUAUGAAACGAAUUCCAGAAUUGCUAGCAUUUUGCAAAGCAACUGAACGAGACUCCUCAUAUGUUGUCCCACCAACAAUGAAAAUAACCACAUCCUGUGGCCUGAACAAAAGAUAUAGUUUAUGUCAUUUGAAAUGGAAUCCAAGGCAUUGGUUGCUUUUCCAUUUUCUAAAACACAACUAGAUUUCUUUCUUCCACCAAAGCGAUUAUGUUCAAUACCACAACAGAACAUAAUUAAGCUUUGAGGGUCUAGAGAACAGAGAAAGCUACAGAGAAUUAGAACAGUGUCAAAGGAAGAAAAUGAGCAGUAGAUUAAGAUACUGAUGUAGACAUCAUAAUGAGACAGAAUCUCAAAUUAGCUGUCAAGUUAUAGAUAAGUAAUACUGCUGAUAGGAUCAACUGCUACAACUCCAGGGCCCUAAGCCUGCCAACUGAUACUGCACGUCAUGCAAAACAUGUCCACUGUCUUUGCAGUUUGCACAUAAUGUGGCUUAAAUCACCAUUCAAUGGCAUCCAAUGCCUGAAAUAUCAAUAGUCCACCAAAAAUGUUUGACCAUAAUGAAAGGUGACACGACAGCCCAUCGUCUUUUACCUGACAUCAAUGAUUCAUUCACAAUUCUAGAUGCCCCCUCUCAAUUAGUGCCCAAAGUAAAAGCCAGUGACCUUGAAUACAAUCAUCUUAAAAAAAAAUUUUCUACUGUUCUGUUCUGAGAUUCUAGUUAACCACUUCAUAUUAGAAAUAAAGUAUUAAACAUGAUAGCUUAAAAUCUCUCUUGGGAUGUGAUUGAGGUUGAAUGAAAAAUAACUAUGAUGAUGGGUUAAAUAUGUCUACCGUCAGCUUAAAUAUAACACAAGUGCAUGCAAACAAAUACAAUAUAUAUUAACCAUGUUAAGUGCAUCCUGAUGAGUCACCUAAUCAAUCAUCAACUUGUGUUUAACUUAAAAAUGUAAAUACAAAUUACUAAAUGGAUCUGCAGUUUGGCGCAUCAAUUUGUGGAACCUACCUCAAAUGACAAACUCAAGCUGUUAAUACCAAUUGCUGCCCCACAGAUUAAUUUCAAAAGUACAACAGAACAAUAAUCAUAAUUUUUCCAUUCUUUAUAUCACCUACCUUCCCUGUUGAAAGUGAUUCCCAACAAAAGGGUAGUCCACAUCUCUCAUCCGCCCUUUAAUUAUACUUUCCAUGGUUUGGAACAGGAGAGGCUGGUGCUGGGUGUACACAUUUUCAACCCCCUUUAAGCCACGGGCCAUAUUACGAGCAAUAUUCAAAAGAUCCCAGUUCCUGUAAAGAUCCCCAGUUCGCCUAUCCACACCUGCUUGCUUCAGGAGAAACUGGACAAGCUGCCAUUUCAUGAUGAUCAUUAUAUCAAAAACAGUUAAUGGUCAAUACAUAAAAACAGUUCUCUCUUAACCUAGCCACAGAAAAAGAUACAAGAUCUCUCGACAUAACUGUAGCCUAAGAUGUGCAAAGGAUAGAAGAAGUCCAACAACAGUCAUAAUCAAAUUAAAAAGGAGAAAAUAAAUUCAACUCUUUCAGUCCGUAUUACCACAACCCCCAAAUCAGUUAAGAGUAAAGAUUGCUGAAAGAUUUGACAAGGGUAAAUUUGACCAACGAUCUGAUCUCAUCUUCCUUUUUUCAUUCAUGAAUAAUAUAUCUGAUCAUUGAUGGCCCUUAAACAGGCAUAUGCAUCUGUAAACAUGUUACCAUUAUCACACCCUAAGGCUUGUACUCUGAAAGUAGAAUAUAGGCAAAAUUCAAAGUGUGCAGGGAGGUUAUCCUAGAUUGAUAGUUACCCCAGGCUUGUAUUUGGGAGAUCGAGAAGCCAGCUUGUUGAAAAGCUGCAUCAAUUGAACAGGAGUCUCCUUCUCAUACCACAAUGCAUAUAACAUCACCAGGUGCAGACAGUCAAUGUCAGAUACACUUUCAUAGUUUAAAAGAUCUGUCACAGCCUCAAAAGCAGCGACUUGCCCACAAUUGCAAGCCAACUCCUGUUCUGUUUCUGAAACUAACAUAAGCUUUCGUUCUUCAACUGUCUUGCGCAUUUCUGUUACUAAUGUCACAUGUUUUGAAACAUUGCCAUGCAUUUUUUGGUACUCAGGGUAAUUAUCAACAAAUUUGGCCAUGUCCUUUAUUGUCUGGAUGUUUUGGUUACUUUUUGCGACUUGCAGAAAAUCAUCCACCAUCCGCUUGAUGUUCAUUCCAAUAUCUCCAAAAUUCUCAUACAUAGCUUUGAAAAAAGCAUCUUGCUCUGAUGACAGCACAAUCUCCUGUGAAAGCAAGUGUAAGAGCAAACACAACAUGAAGAUGAUACCUAACAUGAAUUACUAAAAUUUAGAAUAUUUGUGGCAAGGGGAAAGCAAAUCAACUGCCUGAUCUUUUGGAAACUUGCCAAGACUUCUCAAAUCUACUUUGUUGUCCUGAAUGCCUAUUGAUUCAUGAACCAUAGCCUGAUAGGUCCACUGAUUCAGCAAAGGUGUCACAGGAUCAUCCCUUCGAUCAACUAUCAGCAGUAAUGGAGAUACUUCUGUCCGCCUGAAAUCAAAGAGGCCACUUUCCUGCUGGUACAUCAACUUUGCCAUCUCUUCUCCUAUCCUUUUUGCAAUGUCAGAGGUUCUUUAAUAUCAAAUAAUAGGCCUCUGUUUCAUUGCCAAGAAAACUGCUGCAAUACCAUCAACAACUCUGUCUGAGAACUGCUGCAAACCUGAAGGAUCUACAACCGCGGGAAGCAUAUAAAUGUGAUUUGAUGGAAUAUUCAAUGUGAAAUGAUAAGGAUCAACAGCAACAAAGUCUGAACUUGCUGAGCUGUACAACUUCAUGCUCAUCUGAAUCGGCUAAAAUAUGAAUCUGGGUAUCCUUCAACAUGUUGGAGAAAAAAAGGUGAUACUCCGCAAAUGCUGAAUAUUAUCUGAUGUAGGUCGUACGAACGAAGUAAACUGCUUUCAGAUGUGACAUAGAUUCUUUUGACUUAGAAAUGGAAUCUACCAAUUCUACCAAGAAUACUUCCUUCUGAAGAAGCUCUGAUUGUGAAUAGACAACCCUUACAAUACUAACCGUUUGGGGGUCGAGGACGAGAACCUUCAUGCCGGAAAUGUCCUGCAGCAUCCGGUUUAUGUAAUCCCGUACUGCCGAUACCAGCACCAUUUUCCGGGACCGGUGAGAGAUUGACCGUUUAGAUCUAGGGUUAUGAUCUUCCUGGUGAUGAUUGGAGCUGAGAAGGACUUGGUGUAGUUCAAUUCAAAGUGCAGCAGAGGAAGAAAACUCUGUCAGAUCUGCGUAGAGCCGCAGAAGCUAGGGGGAAAUAGAAGUUUAGAGCAAGGAGGCAGGAAGAGUAGAGAACCGGAAGGAGCGAAACGCACCGUUUCUUUAUUAUGUCGCACCAUUUGCGUUCAACAUCUUGAUGGUUCCUAACCCACCUG
rnacentral:misc_RNA from 1 species